AGAGCGAACGCUGGCGGCAGGCCUAACACAUGCAAGUCAAGCGCCCGUAGCAAUACGGGAGCGGCAGACGGGAUAGUAACACGUGGGAACGCGCCCUUCGGUUCGGAAUAACUCAGGGAAACUUGAGCUAAUACCGGAUACGCCCUUACGGGGAAAGAUUUAUUGCCGAAGGAACGGCCCGCGUCCGAUUAGCUAGUUGGUGAGGUAAUGGCUCACCAAGGCGACGAUCGGUAGCUGGUCUGAGAGGAUGACCAGCAUCACUGGGACUGAGACACGGCCCAGACUCCUACGGGAGGCAGCAGUGGGGAAUAUUGGACAAUGGGCGCAAGCCUGAUCCAGCCAUGCCGCGUGGAUGAUGAAGGCCUUAGGGUUGUAAAGUCCUUUUAACGGGGAAGAUAAUGACGGUACCCGUAGAAUAAGCCCCGGCUAACUUCGCGCCAGCAGCCGC
rnacentral:rRNA from 1 species